GGAAAUGCAGCUCACACUGCUGCUCUGAGCCCCACCUGCCAGCCGCUCAGCCUGGUUUCAGCUCAAGUGGGAAAAGACGUUCAGGAUUUAUGAGGUUCCGAGAGGAUAUUUAGAGCCAAAAUCUUCAUUUGCCAGAGAGCUGUAGUGGUAUUAUGGAGAUGAGAGGUUUUCUCCUGGGAAGGAGUGUGUUGCUUAGCAGAGGAAUUUCCAAAGGUCUGAGAGUGUCCAGUGCAGGAGGGAGAUGUUGCUUUCCAUGCACACGGAGAGGGGUAGCAGGAUUUGGUGGAGAAGAAGCUGAAAACCCACCACAAUACCAAGCCACACAGGGGCAAGAGUUUUGCAUGGGGCCAAGAGUGAAAGAUGCUACUGGCUCAGACAUGCAGAGUUCUGGAGACGUAAGAAAGACUCAAGACCACUGAGGAGUUGCUUGGAUCCCUGAAGAUUGCUGCAGAUGUUUCAGGAUUGGGGAGUGAGAGUUUCGACCAGGAGUGGAUACUGAGGAGAGCAAAGAUCACCUGGUGCUCAUCAAGCCGGACUUCCAGAGGCAAAGCUCCUUAACUGAAGAAUUCAGAAAUGAUCCAGUGCAGGACCCUGAGAAGCCCACAGGAGAAGAAGAAUCCCUAAAGUGAGAGAAACCUGGGCCCUUGAGUGACUGCAUGGAGAAGAGCCCCAUCAUUGACUCAUGUUAGACUGUGA
rnacentral:lncRNA from 1 species